UACGAGGGGGGCGAGCGUUGUUCGGAAUUAUUGGGCGUAAAGGGUGCGUAGGUGGUCCGUUAAGUCAGUUGUGAAAUCCCCGGGCUCAACCCGGGAACUGCUUCUGAUACUGGCGGACUUGAGGCCAGUAGGGGUCACUAGAACUGACGGUGGAGCGGUGAAAUGCGUAGAUAUCGUCAGGAAUGCCGGUGGUGAAGACGGGUGACUGGGCUGGUUCUGACACUGAGGCACGAAAGCGUGGGGAGCGAACGGG
rnacentral:rRNA from 1 species